rnacentral:sRNA from 1 species
ACGACCUUACUUGAACAGGAUCUGUUCUAUAGGAUCGUACCUCUGUAUCCUUUAACACUAAGGACGACAGUGUAUAGCUGAAUGCCUGGUUCAUUCGAAUCAUGCUUGAAUCGUUUGUCAUAUGCUGAUAUCAGCGUUCUGACAGACU